rnacentral:misc_RNA from 1 species
UCCGAGUUGACCCCGGCAGUCUCAUAUGAGUUCCCACCAUUACGUGCUGGCAACAUACGACGAGGGUUGCGCUCGUUGCGGGACUUAACCCAACAUCUCACGACACGAGCUGACGACAACCAUGCACCACCUGUGCACGGCCCUUACGGACCUCCCAUCUCUGGAAGAUUUCCGUGCAUGUCAAGCCUAGGUAAGGUUCUGCGCGUUGCAUCGAAUUAAACCACACGCUCCGCUGCUUGUGCGGGCCCCCGUCAAUUCCUUUGAGUUUUAACCUUGCGGCCGUACUCCCCAGGCGGAGAGCUUAAUGCGUUAGCUGCGUCACCAAUAAGCAUGCUUACUGACAACUAGCUCUCAUCGUUUAAGGCGUGGACUAC